GGGCCGGGGGAGGUGCCCUCCCCAAAGCUUUCCGUCAUAGCUCCCCAUGCACCUCAAUGCACCUCGCUAUGAAUACACUCAUUAGCUGCUGUUUACAGCGGGCAGGGCACUCAGCACUCGGCACAGCUAUCACGGCCGACCAGCCAGCUGCCGCCCGCACACGCACACACGUAGGUACACACAGCCACCAGGCUUCUCCCACCACCCUGUCUUCCCCUCCCCCCUCACUUGAGCCCCACAUGCGCUAUCACGUGGAUAUACCAAUUCCCCAAACAUCCCAGCCCACCCUAUAACUCAGUUUCAGGCCCAACCACCCAGGGUGACACACCUUUCCCAAGGGCCCCUUCCAGGUAGAAGCUGCCAAGCCUUCAUGAGGAGCCGAUGAGCCAGCCCACCUUCCUACCAACGGGUAGGAAUGCAGGAAUAGAUGCUGGGCUCUCUCCAGUCCCUUCCACAGGUUCCAUGCUGUCUGCCAACUCUGUUCCAACCCCCAGGGAAUUCUGCUGGGUGAGACAAAGCUUGGCCCUCCAGAGGCAAAUUGGACAGAGACCAGCAGGGCUACCCCCUGCUGCCUGAAGGAAUGACCUGCCUGAUGGAGUGUCUGUAGGGGACAGAGCCCACUAACAGGUGGGACAGACGGAGGCUUCCGACACUGCUGUCCAGUGAAACUAACGGAGUCCCAGGCACCUGCUGACCGAGAAGGAAGCCCUCAGGACCUGACCUCUCCCUCCCAGCCCUUCUCUCUGGCCUUGCUCACCAGCUCACUGCAAGGUCACUUCUCCCUCCCUCCUCCUUCCCACGGCUGUCCUGCCUGUCCCGCCUGCCCACCGCAACGCUGACCCCUGCAGGCCUGCUGAGGCCCUGCCCAGCCUGGGGACAGGCCGUCAGAGAGACGGACCAAGGAGGCAGGCCAGGCCAGCUUUGGGAUGCAGAGGAUAAAGGAUGGGAGAGAGAAAGGGCAGAGGAGGCUGAAGGUACCGGGUAGAGGUGGCUGGGCAGCUGGAGUAGGAUCUCAUGGGUGUGCAUGGGAGGGAACAGGUCUGCAUUCCCCAUCUGCCUCCUGUUCUCUUCCACGGCCCCUUUCUUUAUAAUAACAGGAGUAAUAGUGCCCGGGGGCCAGGGACCAGGUGGGAAGGGAAGAGCACUCAUCAGGUAAAGUCUUCGUCUUAGGAUGAGCCCUUUGGGGACCUGCAGAGUGAGCGAGCAAAGGGAGAGAGAAUACCAUAGGAAACCUCUGCAAAUGGCCCGGGGCAUGAUGAGCAGAAGGGCAUGAGCCCAGUGCCCACACAAGAGAGAAGAAAACCUCACCAGCCUCCUUCACAGUCAGAACCAACCUUGCCAUAGGCAUUGGUGGACCCUGGAGUUUUCAAGGGGCAAGACAGAAUCGGGACUAUUUGAUUCUGGGGUGGGGAAGAGACAGAAUCAUGUCUCAAGAACUUUGAAGGCCCAGGACCGAACCAUGGGGAUCAGGCUACACUCUUCUGCUGGAGCAUCCUGAGAGCCCAGCCAGCUGGGAGUUCCUGCCUUCUAAGCACUCAAAAGGACUAGGCAGAGGCAGGAAAUGGAGUCUGCAGGAGAACUCAGGUCCUUGGACAACGAACUCAGGAGACUGUGAAUUACCCCCACCCUGCUCUCAGGCUCUGACUCUUCUUAGAAGAGGUCCUUCUGUGCCUCUCGAGGGGGGACUUCAGGAGAGGCCCUUUCCUUCCAUGACGCUACCGCCGGGUGGGCCCCUGUGUCCUGGGUUCCAUGACGUGGCAGGAAGCAUUCAUAGCACCUAAUUCCCCAAGGGCUGGCUUGCUGCAUGCCUUGGACCCCUCAGGCCUGUUUCCCAUCUGGCACAGUCAUUGAAAUCAGGUGUCCUGGGUCAGCUGCAGGCUGAGAGUAGGAGCAGGGAGGGACAUUUUGUCCCUCUGGAGCAGACGCCAGGCCUCUACUCUCCCAAACAGGGCCCCCGAGGCCACCUGGCUGUGUUGCUAGGCCACGGCAUGGAGGCAGGGCUCCUGGGUCCGCCAGCUUCUCCCCUGGCAUGAUCUCCAUACUGCUGUUUCCCUACAGCUCCUGUCCCCUCACCCCCACCCACCAGA